rnacentral:rRNA from 1 species
GCGCGGGAGCAGCUGAUCCUCUUCGGAGGUGACGCUUGUGGAACGAGCGGCGGACGGGUGAGUAACACGUGGGCAACCUGCCUGUAAGACUGGGAUAACCCCGGGAAACCGGGGCUAAUACCGGAUAAUACUUUUCAUCACCUGAUGAGAAGUUGAAAGGUGGCUUUUAGCUACCACUUACAGAUGGGCCCGCGGCGCAUUAGCUAGUUGGUGAGGUAACGGCUCACCAAGGCAACGAUGCGUAGCCGACCUGAGAGGGUGAUCGGCCACACUGGGACUGAGACACGGCCCAGACUCCUACGGGAGGCAGCAGUAGGGAAUCUUCCGCAAUGGACGAAAGUCUGACGGAGCAACGCCGCGUGAGUGAUGAAGGUUUUCGGAUCGUAAAGCUCUGUUGUUAGGGAAGAACAAGUGCCGUUCGAAUAGGGCGGCACCUUGACGGUACCUAACCAGAAAGCCCCGGCUAACUACGUGCCAGCAGCCGCGGUAAUACGUAGGGGGCAAGCGUUGUCCGGAAUUAUUGGGCGUAAAGCGCGCGCAGGCGGUCCUUUAAGUCUGAUGUGAAAGCCCACGGCUCAACCGUGGAGGGUCAUUGGAAACUGGAGGACUUGAGUACAGAAGAGGAGAGUGGAAUUCCACGUGUAGCGGUGAAAUGCGUAGAGAUGUGGAGGAACACCAGUGGCGAAGGCGACUCUCUGGUCUGUAACUGACGCUGAGGCGCGAAAGCGUGGGGAGCGAACAGGAUUAGAUACCCUGGUAGUCCACGCCGUAAACGAUGAGUGCUAGGUGUUAGGGGGUUUCCGCCCCUUAGUGCUGAAGUUAACGCAUUAAGCACUCCGCCUGGGGAGUACGGCCGCAAGGCUGAAACUCAAAAGAAUUGACGGGGGCCCGCACAAGCGGUGGAGCAUGUGGUUUAAUUCGACGCAACGCGAAGAACCUUACCAGGUCUUGACAUCCUCUGCAAUCGGUAGAGAUACCGAGUUCCCUUCGGGGACAGAGUGACAGGUGGUGCAUGGUUGUCGUCAGCUCGUGUCGUGAGAUGUUGGGUUAAGUCCCGCAACGAGCGCCAMCCCUUGAUCUUAGUUGCCAGCAUUUAGUUGGGCASUCUAAGGUGACUGGCCGGUGACGAAACCGGAGGAAGGUGGGGAUGACGUCAAAUCAUCAUGCCCCUUAUGACCUGGGCUACACACGUGCUACAAUGGAUGGAACAAAGGGAAGCAAAACCGCGAGGUCAAGCAAAUCCCAUAAAACCAUUCUCAGUUCGGAUUGCAGGCUGCAACUCGCC